UUGGUGGAAUUUGGAAAACCUAGCACAGUC
rnacentral:piRNA from 1 species